UACGUAGGCAGCAAGCGUUGUUCGGAGUUACUGGGCGUAAAGGGUGUGUAGGCGGUCUUCUAAGUUUGGUGUGAAAUCUCCCGGCUCAACUGGGAGGGUGCGCCGAAAACUGGGAGGCUAGAGUGCGGGAUGGGAGAGUGGAAUUCCUGGUGUAGCGGUGAAAUGCGUAGAUAUCAGGAGGAACACCUGUGGUGUAGACGGCUCUCUGGACCGUAACUGACGCUGAGACACGAAAGCGUGGGUAGCAAACAGG
rnacentral:rRNA from 1 species